rnacentral:rRNA from 1 species
UCCUGGGAUAACACUGACGUUCAUGCUCGAAAGCGUGGGUAGCAAACAGGAUUAGAUACCCUGGUAGUCCACGCCCUAAACGAUGUCAAUUAGCUGUUGGGCAACUUGAUUGCUUAGUAGCGUAGCUAACGCGUGAAAUUGACCGCCUGGGGAGUACGGUCGCAAGAUUAAAACUCAAAGGAAUUGACGGGGACCCGCACAAGCGGUGGAUGAUGUGGAUUAAUUCGAUGCAACGCGAAGAACCUUACCUGGUCUUGACAUGUACGGAAUCCUCCAGAGACGGAGGAGUGCCUUCGGGAGCCGUAACACAGGUGCUGCAUGGCUGUCGUCAGCUCGUGUCGUGAGAUGUUGGGUUAAGUCCCGCAACGAGCGCAACCCUUGUCAUUAGUUGCCAUCAUUAAGUUGGGCACUCUAAUGAGACUGCCGGUGACAAGCCGGAGGAAGGUGGGGAUGACGUCAAGUCCUCAUGGCCCUUAUGACCAGGGCUUCACACGUCAUACAAUGGUCGGUACAGAGGGUAGCCAAGCCGCGAGGUGGAGCCAAUCUCACAAAACCGAUCGUAGUCCGGAUUGCACUCUGCAACUCGAGUGCAUGAAGUCGGAAUCGCUAGUAAUCGCAGGUCAGCAUACUGCGGUGAAUACGUUCCCGGGUCUUGUACACACCGCCCGUCACACCAUGGGAGUGGGGGAUACCAGAAGUAGGUAGGGUAACCGCAAGGAGCCCGCUUACCACGGUAUGCUUCAUGACUGGGGUGAAGUCGUAACAAGGUAGCCGUAGGGGAACC